CCUACGGGUGGCAGCAGUGGGGAAUAUUGCACAAUGGGGGAAACCCUGAUGCAGCGACGCCGCGUGAGUGAAGAAGUAUCUCGGUAUGUAAAGCUCUAUCAGCAGGGAAGAAAAUGACGGUACCUGACUAAGAAGCCCCGGCUAACUACGUGCCAGCAGCCGCGGUAAUACGUAGGGGGCAAGCGUUAUCCGGAUUUACUGGGUGUAAAGGGAGUGUAGACGGCAGUGCAAGUCAGGAGUGAAAGGCGGGGGCUCAACCCUCGGACUGCUCUGGAAACUGUACGGCUGGAGUGCAGGAGAGGUAGGCGGAAUUCCUGGUGUAGCGGUGAAAUGCGUAGAUAUUAGGAGGAACACCGGGGGCGAAGGCGGCUUACUGGACUGUAACGGACGUUGAGGCUCGAAAGCGUGGGGAGCAAACAGGAUUAGAUACCCGGGUAGUC
rnacentral:rRNA from 1 species